rnacentral:tRNA from 3 species
AUUAAUUUAUUUUAAUGAGAAUAUUUUUUUUCCAAAUAAAAGGUUUAAUUAAAA